rnacentral:tRNA from 1 species
GGGGAUGUAUCUAUGUGGCACAGUACCUGCCUGGUAAGCAUGAGGCCCUGGGUUCAAUUCCCAGUAUCCCCC